GACGUAGGGGGCCAGCGUUGUUCGGAAUUACUGGGUGUAAAGGGUUCGUAGGCGGUGUAGCAAGUCGGGAGUGAAAUCUCUGGGCUUAACCCAGAGGCUGCUUCCGAAACUGCUGUGCUUGAGUGUGGGAGAGGCGCGUGGAAUUGCAGGUGUAGCGGUGAAAUGCGUAGAUAUCUGCAGGAACACCCGUGGCGAAAGCGGCGCGCUGGACCACUACUGACGCUGAGGAACGAAAGCUAGGGGAGCGAACAGG
rnacentral:rRNA from 1 species